GUCCUGCCAAGUGGUCUGCAGCAGUACCUGUAAAACAGAAGACCGUUCAGGCUCUCGUGCACGAUGCGCUCCACCGCUGCAGCCAAAAUCUUCAAGGAGUUCUUCAAGGAAGGUGACCGCACGGAAUGGAUCCGUGAACCUUCGAUCAAUCUCCGUCACCUCAUCAUAAUGAACAAAGGAAAGCAAAUACUUCUGUGUUUUCUUUACUUGACUCUCUCAUGGCAAACUGGCUACGUGACUGCAAGCCCACCUGACCCAAAUCAAGUCGGGAGAUGGAAAAGUAAUACCCGAUGUUCCCCGCCCAAAGGUGGAUGUGCACACCCGACGGACAGGCAAAACUUUCCGUGGUGGUUUGCGCGUCAAGAUGGCAGUGGAUGCUACCGUGUUCAAACGAGUACAUGCCAUGGAAAAGGCUUCCCAACGGAAGGCAUGUGCAGAAAUAGCUGCGGGAUUCGAAAGUAACAUAAAUACAGCCAGCCACCUGCAAAAACAAGAUUCAAUGGAAAAAUCAUCUUUCAUUGCAUAUCAUUUUCCGGUGUUUUUAUGCAGGUACCGCUUACCGUGUCUUUUUUUUUUCUUAAGCUUUACUAGACAAAGCAACACUGACACGCUGACCUUGUUUUCCGUUCGCAUCUGAUUCAAUAGUAAAUAAUUGGAAGAGCUCCUGUGCUCUACACAAGACACCAGGGAAACACACUGUGGACUUCUUAUAAUGCCUUAAAAUACGGAAACAACGAGAAUACCGUAAUCAUUUUACCUCAACUAAGAAGCCCGGAAGAGUACUAUUUAGCUACCUUUCACAUACUAUUCACCAGAUUUCCAGGAAAACUAAGCUCGGUGUAAGAAAAGUUCUUUUUCCCGGAAAACCAACAAAUGCAGCAAAAGAUGGUCGCAUAAUUCCGUCAUCCUCACAUAGUAGAAGCAGUGUUUUUCGACUAAAGCUCUAGCUCAUGCACAAAUUUUUAUUGUUAUAUACGCAAUGUCUAUAGUGUUCCCCCUGUUUUCAGCAAAUUUGAUCUCGUAGUCAUUUAUAAUCCGCCGGCCUCAAUUCUGCACCACAUGAAACACAUGCCUUUGAGGCUCCCGAGCGCAGACAUCCCUAAUUUAUUGCAAAGGCUGCAAUUAUUCUUUCCGUUCUGAACUUAACCUGCAUGUCGUCAAUAAAAUCAUCGUCAGUUUUCACCAA